UGUAUUAUUAGCUAACUAGCUACAGUGCAGGCUAACUCAAAUGAGCUGCAAACGUAACUAGCUAGUUAUCUAGCCAACUACUGUAUAGAUAGCUAGCUAAGUGAAUUACAUUUAACCAGCUACCUAACUUCAUAUUAGAUGGCUAUCUUAAUAUAUAUAUUACUGUAAAAAACCAACUCCAAAUGCAUUUGUAGAUAGCUAGCUAACAACCAUGGAGGAGGGUGAAAGGAUAGCAGCCCCAUCUGUCAAAGUGAGAGAGUAGGCUAUUCUGGAUAGGGCAGGUACUUUUGUGUAUUUCCAGUCCCUAGAAGUAGGGACAGAGAACAUAAUUCAGUGCUGUCUAAUUUGAGUAUAAUUUAGUCUGUUUCUUGUGUGGUUUUCUGUCCUCAGGCUGUGAAAACAUGUCUGCAGAUGAAGAGGUCCCAAUGAAAAGCAGUGGUUCUCAGUCCUGGUCUGGGGACUCAAAGGGGUGCACAUUUUUGUUUUUGAUUAGCAGUACACAGCUGAUUCAAAUGAUCAAGUCAUCAUCAAGCUUCAAGUGAUACCUUGUAACUGGAGAUUCCUUAAAAACGAUUGCCUACAGUUACCGUGUAGGGCACUGCAAGGUUGGGUGACCAGGGCCAUCUGGGACUGCCUCCUGGGGGAAUUCAGGCAUGUGAAGGCUACCUGUGUCCUGCAUAAGUUCAUGAGGAUGGACACGAGGACCAGGAGGGGAUCUGCAGCUCGCCGCCGUUUGCCAGAGGAGAGGUCUGCUGCUCUGCAGGAUGUUUCAAGGAUGGGGGCCAACAACGCAGCACGGGAGGCAAUCCAUGUGCGGUAAAUCUUCACCUCCUACUUCUUCGAAGAGGGUGCUGUUCCCUGGCAACACCAUAGACUACACUAUGCACAACCAAAUGCUAUUUUAUGAGCCAUCCACAUGGCAACUGCAGUUAUUCAAUUCCCAGUUUCUCUCCUUUUGAUUUCUACGUCUCAGGUGAGGGUGUAAGGGUGAUGUCUGUACCAAAACAAAACAGGCUCUUUUAAGAGUCACACAUAUUGAACAAAUGUAGAACAAUUAGACACCCUAUAGCCCACACCUACACACUUGUGUAUCAAUCUAAUUGAUGGAUUGUGUUGUGCAUUAAGCAGGCUCAGGUGUAUAACUGUGGCUCCUUCCACGUUCAAAGAAUAGGCAAGAGGACCAACCAUUGAGAAUAGUUAUAUCAGUUGUGUCGGUGAACCCUUCCUGGAUCUGAACUGCUGACACAUAGAGGGCACAGCAUGAUCAGAGGUAUGUUUUGAUGUGAGAGGACCCCAAGUCCCGUCAUCGCCACCUCACCUGCUCUUAAGAUAAUCUUCGGGCCAACUGGGGGCCCAAGGCCUGUUAGGAGACACCGCUAGAGACACUAUUAUGGAAUUGUGAUGAACUGAGAGAAUAUAAAGUUUAGUAGCGCUGUAAUUCAUUAAUCAUAUGCUGUCUUCCCUGCUCCUCUGUUCUUAACUCUUUCCCUUUCUGUCUUUUACACUCUCUCACUCCUCUCUCCCAGUCCUCUCUUUCUUCCUCUGUUUUUAUAAUGGACACCAGAUGUGCAUUGAUGUACAGAUUGAAUUUGUAAUUAUAAUAUUACAACUAUAAUAUUUAUAAUGCAUUUAUUUAUAACACUUGGAUAAUUAACUUCUUUAAAUAAAGCAUUUCACAUUCUC